ensembl:lncRNA
CUUUCAUGGAACUGCUGCUAAAAAAAAAGAUGUGUAAGAAAGAUGUCGAUACGUCUCCUGUUGAGCAGUAUGAAUGUAUGUUGCUAGAAGCCUAGAGAAAUCUCAUGGACAGCCACAGACUCCCAGGGCAAUCUGUGUGAACCACUGAAGCAACCUGUGUUGACUCUUCACAGUGUUAGAUGUGCUUCCUAUGAAUCACCUCAUGCAAACAUGAAGAUGGGAAAAGCAUCUGAGAAUGGUGAGAGGUCUCUGCAAGAGCUAAGGUCAGAAAGUAUGCUCCCAAAGUCCACUCUGGCCACUGUCCCAUUUCACUCUUCCUAUUUAGACA